GAUGAACGCUGGCGGCGUGCUUAAUACAUGCAAGUCGAACGGACAGGCGAAAAGUUUCUUGGUCACUCGAUUGCCGAACGGGUGAGUAACACGUGUGUGAUCUCCACUUCACUUCCUGAUAUGCCUGGGAAACUGGGGCUCUUAUCGGGGAUGACAUUGUUAUGGAUGUCGUUGUGUAAUGUUUGUGCGGUUUGGUAUCAGUUCUCGGUGUAUCAGCUUGUUGUUGGCGUGAUGGUCUAGCAAGGCGUAGACGGGUAGCCGGCCUGUGAGGGUGUACGGCCAGACUGGGACUGAGAGACGGCCCAGAGUAGUAAGGGAGGCAGAAGUGGGGAAUAUUGGACAAUGGGAGCAAGCCUGAGGCAGCGACGUCGCGUGGGGGAUGAAGGCCUUCGGGUUGUAAAAACCUUUCGCUAGGGAAGAAGCGUUUUUGUGACGGUACCUGGAGAAGAAGCACCGGCUAACUACGUG
rnacentral:rRNA from 1 species